UACGACUACAUAUCAGGCAUAUCAAUAAGCGGAGGAAAAGAAACUAACUAGGAUUCCCCUCAGUAACGGCGAGUGAAGCGGGAAGAGCUCAAAUUUGAAAUCUUCAAGGUUCUACCUUGACGAAUUGUAGUUUAAAGAAGUGUUUUCUGUUAGGAGUUAGGUAAAAGUUCUUUGGAAUAGGACAUCAUAGAGGGUGAGAAUCCCGUAUUUGACUAUUCUUUCUAGCUUUGUGAUACACUUUCAAAGAGUCGGAUUGUUUGGGAAUGCAGUCCAAAAUGGGUGGUAAAUUUCAUCUAAAGCUAAAUAUUGGCGAGAGACCGAUAGCGAACAAGUACUGUGAGGGAAAGAUGAAAAGAACUUUGAAAAGAGAGUUAAACAGUACGUGAAAUUGUCAAAAGGGAAGCGUUUGACACCAGUGUUGUUUUCUACGAAAAUCAAUUUAUGAUGGCUUGAUGCUAAGCUUUAAGACUUUAUCCGCUUGUUGUUUAGUUUUCUUGCUUUGUGAAUGCACUUUUCGUGGAACAAGUCAACAUCAAUUUCUUUUGUUGUAAAAGGGUAAGAGGAAGGUGGCUUCGGCUUCGGUUGAAGUGUUUAUAGCCUUUUAUCUCUGCAGUCGGAGAGAUUGAGGUCUGCAGCGUAGACUCUUCGGGGUUAGAUACGUCGGUGCUAAGCUAUAGCUUUUCAUAGACAACUUGUUGACUAUGUUUAGUCAUGUGGCUUACCCGCUGGCGCUAUUUUACCUACGCUUAGGAUGUUGACACACGCGCGUGCUCG
rnacentral:rRNA from 1 species